ACGAACGCUGGCGGCAUGCCUAAUACAUGCAAGUCGAGCGGACUUGAAGAGAAGCUUGCUUCUCUGAUGGUUAGCGGCGGACGGGUGAGUAACACGUAGGCAACCUGCCCUCAAGUUUGGGACAACUACCGGAACGGUAGCUAAUACCGAAUAGUUGUUUCUUCGCCUGAAGAGAACUGGAAAGACGGAGCAAUCUGUCACUUGGGGAUGGGCCUGCGGCGCAUUAGCUAGUUGGUGAGGUAACGGCUCACCAAGGCGACGAUGCGUAGCCGACCUGAGAGGGUGAUCGGCCACACUGGGACUGAGACACGGCCCAGACUCCUACGGGAGGCAGCAGUAGGGAAUCUUCCGCAAUGGGCGAAAGCCUGACGGAGCAAUGCCGCGUGAGUGAUGAAGGUUUUCGGAUCGUAAAGCUCUGUUGCCAGGGAAGAACGCUUGGGAGAGUAACUGCUCUCAAGGUGACGGUACCUGAGAAGAAAGCCCCGGCUAACUACGUG
rnacentral:rRNA from 1 species